rnacentral:rRNA from 1 species
AGGAGAGUUUGAUCCUGGCUCAGGAUAAACGCUAGCGGCAGGCCUAACACAUGCAAGUCGAGCGGCAACACGAAGUAGCAAUAUUUUGGUGGCGAGCGGCGGACGGGUGAGUAACGCGUAUGUAACCUGCCCAUCACACGGAGAUAGCCGACCGAAAGGACGAUUAAACUCCGAUGGCAUCAAGAGGGGGCAUCCCCAUUUGAUUAAAUAUUCAUAGGUGAUGGAUGGGCAUGCGUGGCAUUAGUUAGUUGGCGGGGCAACGGCCCACCAAGACGAUGAUGCCUAUGGGUUCUAAAAGGAAGAUCCCACACAUCGGUACUGAGACACGGACCGAACUCCUACGGGAGGCAGCAGUGAGGAAUAUUGGACAAUGGGGGCAACCCUGAUCCAGCCAAACCGCGUGGGGGAAGGAGGCCGUUAAGGUCGUAAACCCCUUUUAUAUGGGAGCAAUCCGCUUCAUGUAUGGAGCGUUGAGAGUACCAUUUGAAUAAGCAUCGGCUAACUCCGUGCCAGCAGCCGCGGUAAUACGGAGGAUGCGGGCGUUAUCCGGAUUUAUUAGGUCUAAAGGGUGCGCAGGCGGCUCUCUAAGUCGGCGGUGAAAACCCGUGGCCCAACCACGGACGUGCCAUCGAUACUGGGGGGCUUGAGUGCGGAUGAGGUAUGCGGAAUGAGUGGUGUAGCGGUGAAAUGCUUAGAUAUUACUCAGAACACCGAUUGCGAAGGCAGCGUGCCAAUCCGUUACUGACGCUCAUGCACGAAAGCGCGGGUAGCGAACAGGAUUAGAUACCCUGGUAGUCCCCU